rnacentral:rRNA from 1 species
GACGAACGCUGGCGGCGUGCUUAACACAUGCAAGUCGAACGGAAAGGCCCAGCUUGCUGGGUACUCGAGUGGCGAACGGGUGAGUAACACGUGGGUGAUCUGCCCCUGACUUUGGGAUAAGCCUGGAAAACUGGGCCUAUAACCGGAUAUUCAUUUUUCCUCGCAUGGGGAUUUGUGGAAAGCUUCUGCGGUUAGGGAUGGGCGCGCGGCCUAUCAGCUUGUUGGUGGGGUAAUGGACUACCACGGCGACGAAGGGUAGCCGACCUGAGAGGGUGAACAGCCACACUGGGACUGAGAGACGGAGCAGACGGCUACGGGAGGCAGCAGGGGGGAAUAUGGCACAAUGGGCGCGAGUCUGUUGCAGAGACGCCGCGUGAGGGAUGACGGCCUUCGGGGUGUAAACCGCUGUCAGCUCCGACGAAGCUGAAGUGACGGUAGCAGCAGAAGAAGCACCGGCCAACUACGUG